CUAAGGCCAGAGACAAUACAAAAACAUAUUAGACUGUUCAUGACACAUAUCACGGUGGACAGUGUCUGUGUCCUUAUUACAAGCAGCGAGAGGAAUUAUAUAUGCUUGUCACCACACACGCGCGCGCACAGAUGCACGACAUACAUAUAGUUGAGACCAACAGAUGGAUCGACUAGAGGUGGCCCCAUAUGGUGAACAAUUUAUUGGAGAUAAACAUUAUUAUAACUUGGACAUAGGUUGAAGCAUAGCAACAUAUGCGUAUGAAUGGCAUUGAUGCUAUCGUUUUAGGCUUGUCCAGAUAAUAAUAUCUGGUUUUAAGCAUAACAUGGUUUUUACUUAAUUUAUCUGUGCGUGCGAUAAUAAACCAGAUAAUAGCUUGAAACAUGUUGUGCAUUGCCACCACACGCACGAGAAUAAAUUAAGUAAAAAACAUGCACACAUAGAUAAUAAUAAUAAUCAAGUUUCAGUAAAAUUGCUAAGGCCAGAGACAAUACAUAAACAUAUUAGACUAUUCAUGACACAUAUCACGGUGGUCAGUGUCUGUGUCCUUGUUACAAGCAGCGAGAGAUGCUUGUCACCACACGCACGCGU
rnacentral:lncRNA from 1 species